AGUGAACGCUGGCGGUAGGCCUAACACAUGCAAGUCGAACGGCAGCACAGUAAGAGCUUGCUCUUACGGGUCGCGAGUGGCGGACGGGUGAGGAAUACAUCGGAAUCUACUUUUUCGUGGGGGAUAACGUAGGGAAACUUACGCUAAUACCGCAUACGACCUACGGGUGAAAGCAGGGGAUCUUCGGACCUUGCGCGAUUGAAUGAGCCGAUGUCGGAUUAGCUAGUUGGCGGGGUAAUGGCCCACCAAGGCGACGAUCCGUAGCUGGACUGAGAGGAUGAUCGGCCACACGGGAACUGAGCCACGGUCCAGACUCCUACGGGAGGCAGCAGUGGGGAAUAUUGGACAAUGGGCGCAAGCCUGAUCCAGCCAUACCGCGUGGGUGAAGAAGGCCUUCGGGUUGGAAAGCCCUUUUGUUGGGAAAGAAAAGCAGCAGGUUAAUACCCCGCUGUUCUGACGGUACCCAAAGAAUAAGCACCGGCUAACUUCGUG
rnacentral:rRNA from 1 species